rnacentral:rRNA from 1 species
GAUGAACGCUAGCGGCAGGCCUAACACAUGCCAGUCGAGGGAGGAGCUUUCGGGCUUCGACCGGCGUACGGGUGCGUAACGCGUAUACAAUCUGCCUUUCACAUAGGGAUAGCCCGAAGAAAUUUGGAUUAAUACCUAAUGGUAUAUAGGAGUGGCAUCACAUUUAUAUUAAAGCUGAGGCGGUGAAAGAUGAGUAUGCGUUCUAUUAGCUAGUUGGAGAGGUAACGGCUCCCCAAAGCGACGAUAGAUAGGGGUUCUGAGAGGGAUAUCCCCCACACUGGUACUGAGAUACGGACCAGACUCCUACGGGAGGCAGCAGUGAGGAAUAUUGGACAAUGGUCGGAAGACUGAUCCAGCCAUGCCGCGUGCAGGAAGACGGCCUUAUGGGUUGUAAACUGCUUUUGCAGGGGAAGAAUAAGGACUACGAGUAGUUUGAUGACGGUACUCUGCGAAUAAGCAUCGGCUAACUCCGUG